AAAGCACAGUCGACGUCUUUCCUCUUCCUGCGAUUUUUUCCUGCUCUCUCCAAUUGCCGUUCUCUCCCAAAUUACCACCCUUCAAUCGCCCAUCAACCAUUCAAUCAGCCAUCAGCCGUGAGCCCACUAAUAUACUUGCUUGAAUGUUGCUCUAAUUGAAUUCCAAAAUCCUGUGCUCUUCCUCCCUCUCCAAUUGUGGUUCUCUUUAUUCAGAGAAGGCGAUUGUAAUUCUUUUGUUGUUGAUGACUUCUAGUCCCGAUUCUGCAUCUGUUUUCAGUUUCUGUUUGAAUUUCCUCAAUUAAUUGGUAUUGGUUCCACUUUUUAACAAGCUUCAACUAAGGUAUUCUGUCUCUUACUUUCGAUUGAAUGACUUGUGUGAAUAAUGAAUACACUUAAUUACAUGAUUAUCAUUAUAGAUUGCAGGAAGUUCGUUUAUAUAUCUAGCAUGAAAAAUUGAAACAAUUGAAUUUUCAGAGGGAGAAAGAGAAAAGCCUCCAUUUAGCCCUGGUGGCACCACAUAGGACGUCGUAUAGUCACGUGUUCUUGUGGAGAAUAUAAUUUUUACGAUUUGAUAUUACCGAAUUGGUAUCAAAUUAAAUUAACCUAAAAUUGAAAUUCUUUUACAGAAUCCCUUUUUCAUUUUUCAACUCCCGUGAACCAAUUUUCCAUUAACUGUAGGUUUGAUUCCUGGUGAGCCGGAAAAUUUUUUUCUUUCCGGCGGCUGUUUGGAAAUGGGCUCACUGGAAAAUACGAAUUGGUUGUAUGACUAUGAGGUUGAGGAUAUCCCGAUCCCGUAGGGAAUUUCUUCGCUCCACCAGAUGGGUUUUCUUGGUCAAUUCAAGCUUCGAAUGGUUCAAAUAAUGUGAGGUAGCAGUUGGAAUGUAUUUGUUAUAAUUCUUCUUGUAUUCGCAUGUGUUGUAUCUCCUUAUAAGGUUGUGAACUUCCUUCUUUUUCCAUUUUGAUGGGAUAUUUUUGGGGCAUUUGUUUUUGUAAUUUGAUAUGAUACUUACCCAAUUAGUUAAAGUUCUUGAUUUAGUUGUUUAAUGUUGCAAAUUCGAGCCAAUUAGUUGAAGUUAGAGUCUUUUGGGUUUUUUGGCUUUUGUGUUUUGGGAGAUUUCUUCUUGAAUUUCAUAUUUUGUGUGAAUAUUGAAUACACUAAUCAAGAUGGACUAUAAAUUAUUAGAAUGUUGAUUAGUUCUGUACUUGAUUUAGUAUUUCCCCAAUAAAUCCAAAUAUGAAAUAUUAGGACUAAAUGAAAAACCAUCAAGGUCUUUGAUAGGUUUCUGUUGAUUAGAUGCUAGAAAACUAAAUUGAAUAAGGAAACAAAGAUAUUGGGGUGUAAUACAUUGCACUAAAUAUAAUGAAUGAAAUAUCAGAUGACAAUUAUAAAUGAAACGUGUAUGUACUUUAUUCAAUGAUACUCAAUGAAAGAGUGUAUUCAAAUCCCUGCAUUUAUGAAAUUUGUAAAUACCAAUAGGACUUUCUGGAAUGAUGCAGCUUACAGCUCUGCUGUUUGAUUCCUUUCAGUUUUAGCAACACGUUUCUUUUUCUCAGCCCUUUGAUUCCCUUUGUGCUUAUAUGUUUGAUAAAUUGGAGGUCUAUCAGUUUUCAAAUGGCUUCUCGCUUUCAAUAACUCCCUGAUCAGUGGCAAUAUCAGUACUCAAUCCAGUAUCUUGAGAAUGAGUGAUCAAAGUAUUGUUGAGCUCCAGUUUACACUUCUUUUUGAGUUUUGAUCUUCCUUUGGUGGAAAUGCUUCUAAAAUUGAUUAAUAUCUCACUCAGCAGUAAGAACUUCACACUUGUUCAAUAUCAAAUAUCAAGCUGUAAGUUCCCGUUUUGGAUAUGAAAUUACUGAGAUUUAUUAGUUCCUUACUUGAAGUUAAUUUAUACCUCCUGAUAUGGUGAUUGAUGAUGAAAGGUAUAUGUUAUAUGCGAGGCAGGCAGGUUGGGCAUUUGUGUACUCAAUGGCUUUGGCUAACUUCAACUAACUUUACUCAAUGGCAUUUAGUUGUUUUGUUUUGUAUAUAAAAUGUCUAUUGUUUUGUUUUGCAAAUCUGAUAAAUUAUAUGGCCAUUUACUUAUCUUUAUUAAAUGUUUUAAAUUUUAAUUGUUUGAUUUGGUGUAAACAAGGUAGAA
rnacentral:lncRNA from 1 species